rnacentral:misc_RNA from 1 species
GUCAAGUGAUAUAUGUGAUGUUUUUGCACUGUUACAUACAGUAGUAUUUGAGAUGUCAUUAUUAGUUAUUGCAUUGGCUGAUACAAUUAUGACUACGAUAUAAUUUAAUAUAAAGGAAUGAAAUCAAUAUAGGCAUAUUAAUGAGACAAAGAAGUCAGAUUUGGCAAACUUAUCCAAUAUCAUAACUAAUUAAGGUGCAACUAUCACAAAGAUUGAUAGCCCAAUCCCCGACUUAAGUGCAUGCUCCUUGUUUCCUUGAAACUCUAGCUUCUUUUGGUGUAAGAAGUGCUCUAUUUUUCUCCUUCAAAUCAACAUUCAUACAACUCAAUGAAACUCAUUUUUUGGAGUGAAGAUAAUUAGAGGCAGUUUACUGAGCAAGCCAUCAGAUUUAAAUAACAGAAGUGU